rnacentral:lncRNA from 1 species
CGGGGCCUUAGCGGACGGAGGGGAGCGCGGGGGUCACCGGGCCGGGCCGGCAGCCCUAGAGCUCGGCCUGGCGGGGACCCUGGGCCAGCCCCGCGCCUCCGUGGCCCGGGCGUCUCGUGCGUGUCCGCGAACUCGCGUGCGCGCGUCACCUCGGACCGCAGCAUGGCUCGGAGGGCGGCCCUACUCGCGCCGCCCUAGUGCUGCGAAGGGCCUCGGAGCCCAAACCCGGAACCGCCAUCUGGGACUGGGAAGACGACAUGGCCAGAAGCCGGCGGGA